rnacentral:rRNA from 1 species
GAUGAACGCUGGCGGCGUGCCUAAUACAUGCAAGUCGAGCGAACAGACGAGGAGCUUGCUCCUCUGACGUUAGCGGCGGACGGGUGAGUAACACGUGGAUAACCUACCUAUAAGACUGGGAUAACUUCGGGAAACCGGAGCUAAUACCGGAUAAUAUAUUGAACCGCAUGGUUCAAUAGUGAAAGACGGUUUUGCUGUCACUUAUAGAUGGAUCCGCGCCGCAUUAGCUAGUUGGUAAGGUAACGGCUUACCAAGGCAACGAUGCGUAGCCGACCUGAGAGGGUGAUCGGCCACACUGGAACUGAGACACGGUCCAGACUCCUACGGGAGGCAGCAGUAGGGAAUCUUCCGCAAUGGGCGAAAGCUUGACGGAGCAACGCCGCGUGAGUGAUGAAGGUCCUCGGAUCGUAAAACUCUGUUAUUAGGGAAGAACAAAUGUGUAAGUAACUAUGCACGUCUUGACGGUACCUAAUCAGAAAGCCACGGCUAACUACGU